rnacentral:rRNA from 1 species
UACGUAGGGUGCGAGCGUUGUCCGGAAUUAUUGGGCGUAAAGAGCUCGUAGGCGGUUUGUUGCGUCUAUCGUGAAAACCUGCAGCUUAACUGUGGGCUUGCGGUGGAUACGGGCAGACUUGAGUUCGGUAGGGGAGACUGGAAUUCCUGGUGUAGCGGUGAAAUGCGCAGAUAUCGGGAGGAACACCAGUGGCGAAGGCGACUACCUGGCCUGUUCUUGACGCUGAGGCGCGAAAGCUAGGGGAGCAAACGGG